UUCAAUUGAAUUAAAGAACACAGCUUUAAAAUGCAAUUUGCUCUCGAUCUGAUUGUAACUGAUAGCGAACGUGGGCCGGUCAAUUUCAAUUUCACACCAUAUUAAAUUAGCCACAAGCUAUACACGUCCAAACAACUGUACCGAGAGUUAAUACGAUAGAGCUUUUAUGUAUGUUGUCAAAUGAAAUGGUAAUUUAAUCAGUUGCUUGGAGUGUUCUAAUUUAAGUUUUUUUUUUUGUAAAAGUGAGUUAUGAUGAAGCUUACUUUUUCAAACCCAUAAACAUGAGAAAAUUUUGAAUAUAGACAUCAAUAAAUUAUUCAAACAAAAUGUAUGUGUCAUAAUGCGAUAAUGCGAUUCAAUGUUAUUUUCAGUAUCGGUCCAGAAUCUCAUCCAAAAUCAUAACUUCAGGCUAACGACAUCAGAGGAUAGCAUUACAAUCAUUUUACAAGAAUUAAUUUCAGCGCCUCAAUCCAGGAUAACAAAACCAUUCCCGCACACAAACUCAGCAGGCGAACGCGCACGCACGCACACAGCUCAAAGCAAGGGUGCUGAAAAUCGGAUCAACUAUCACUCAUUUGGCAGUCACUCACUAUUAAUUCAAUUUCUCUCUCAGAGCUGUUGACCUCGCGAAUGAACGUGAGUUUGACAGAUGGAAGAGUGAUGGCGAAUGAAUUAGACGUGAGCCGUGAGUCAACCGAUUUGUUUACAAUCCAUUCGCUCACUUUUCCAAUCAACGAAUGAGUGAUUUCAACUGACUCGCUGUUACAAUUCAAUCAUUCACUACUCGAAUAUUUUGUGUCGAAGAUUGGUUCGUCUAAUCGAAAUUGUCACGGUAGAAACAAAUUAAAAUUCUUGAAAUUAACUGUGCCGUCGAAAGUCAUUCAUCUGGAUUCUUUUUUGCAUGACAAAGAACAAAGAACAUUAUGGAAUUUAAUGUCCCAAUUAGGACGAGCACCGAUGGCAGCAGAACCACCACCGAGAGCAGCGAAUUCACGGCCGAUUCCUCCAGCAGAGGCAGAAGCGAUUCUGUCUUCCGAGACGAAUCAAAUGGCACAAAUUAUCCGAGUGGAAACAUUUAGAUGAAAGCCACCUGUACGUGUUGCUGGGGGAACUGCCGCGGCACUUUGACCGUCUUGCUCUCCCCGGCGAACUACCGCAAUAGCGCAAAAACCUUGUCCAAAGUGCUUUGGGCGCUGUGUAUUAAUGAAGAUUUGUUGAUACGGUUCUAAAUUUAGUCAUUAAUAAAGUAACUUACUAAGUAG